AUGGAUUCUAAGACCAUAUGCCGGACCAAAAUUUGUGAUGUUCCCAACGCCAUCAAAGUUCCCUCUGUUUGGUCGAUUAGUAGCAAGUUCAUGCCAACUAGGGAAUACCGGAGUGAUUUGCUGAAAUUUUCACUACUUCCUGAUCCGGAAGAUGGUAACCAGGCAAAGGAAUGGGAAAGGUUUACAGGCUACCUUCGCGAAAGCGGCAAGGCCGGUAUUGUUAAAUUUGGCUCUGGAACCUUCCACAUUCUUGCUCCUAAACCUCAUUCUUCCUCUCAUGUGGUGAUCUUGUAUGAGACUGGAAUAAAAGAGCCUGGAGUCUGCAAAAAUAUGGCAAGGAUAUCUGCUCACAUUCUCCCCCCGACGCCGAAUCCCCUUUCUACCGGAGCCUCACCAAUUUCGAUCGACGGCGCAAGGGGGCCGGCCGGAACCCAGUCCAGUGAAGCUCCUCCCGGCGCGGCCUUCAGCAGUGCGCGGCGCUCCAGCUCGUCUUCACCGUCCAGCCCGAAGAAGAUACAGCGGCGCACUUGGUCGGUUUUGUCCCGCUCGGCACUCUCCUCCCAGGCUCCCACCCAGUGUUUGCCGGUGGAGACCAAAGAUGAAGCGGAGCAGCCUCGCGUGCGCGGCCAUCGUUCUGCUCAUCGCGUUCGGAUGGCUCGCAGCUGCUGGAGAGUGCAAUCUUUCCCUCAAGUUUUGCCUCAUGAGGGAUUGCAAGACCAAGGGCGAGUUCUGGAAGUGGAAACCGGACUGCUUCUGCUGUGUCGUGCAGCCCGGCAUUCCGUGCUGGCACACGGUUAA
rnacentral:rRNA from 1 species